rnacentral:lncRNA from 1 species
UGGGUGCAGGUUUUAUCAUGAUAUACAAGCUAUCUCUUUCUUCAGCUUUCCCAAUCAUCUGCAAGGUUGACUUGUCCUGUAUUUCACAAGAAAAUUAAGAAAUGUUAAGUUUAAAAGAUAGAUAUUUGGUUAACUUUGUGACCGAAAUAAGAUUGACUGAAAAAUUAGGAACAAACAAGACAUUAUGUAAAGUAAGGUGUGAACUAAGUGAAACUAUGCUAGAAGAAUGAGCAAAUGAAGAGUUCUUGUUGGGUAGUGAUACUGUAAUUGGUGAGAUUCUAUGAUAAGAAAUAAAAUGAGACAAAAAACUGGAUAUAUGA